rnacentral:rRNA from 1 species
AUAGUGUAUAUUCACGUUGCUGCAGUUAAAACGCUCGUAGUCGGAGUGUGGGAGCUGGAGGGCAUGGGCCGCGGAGCAAUCCGCGUGCCCGCAUGUGCCUUCCCCCCAAGCAUUCCUGGGAGUGGCUUGCUUCUUCGGAGGCAUUUCAGUGUCCAGGACGUUUACCUUGAAAAAAUUAGAGUGUUCAAAGCAGGCAUUUUGCUUGAAUAUAUUAGCAUGGAAUAAUGGAAUAGGACCCUGGGUCUUGUUUUGUUGGCUUUACUUGGCCGCGGGUAAUGAUUAAUAGGAGCAGUUGGGGGCAUUUGAACUGGGCGGUUAGAGGUGAAAUUCUUGGAUCCGCCCAAGUCAGACUAGUG